GACGAACGCUGGCGGCGUGCUUAACACAUGCAAGUCGAACGGAAAGGCCCUGCUUUUGUGGGGUGCUCGAGUGGCGAACGGGUGAGUAACACGUGAGUAACCUGCCCUUGACUUUGGGAUAACUUCAGGAAACUGGGGCUAAUACCGGAUAGGAGCUCCUGCUGCAUGGUGGGGGUUGGAAAGUUUCGGCGGUUGGGGAUGGACUCGCGGCUUAUCAGCUUGUUGGUGGGGUAGUGGCUUACCAAGGGUUUGACGGGUAGCCGGCCUGAGAGGGUGACCGGCCACAUGGCUACUGAGAGACGGCCCAGACGCGUACGGGAGGCAGUAGUCGGGAAUAUGGCACAAUGGGCGGAAGCCUGAUGCAGCAGCGCCGGGUGCGGGAUGACGGGCUUCGGGUUGUAAACCGCUUUCGCAUGUGACGAAGAGUGAGUGACGGUAAUGGGUAAAGAAGCACCGGCUAACUACGUG
rnacentral:rRNA from 1 species